rnacentral:lncRNA from 1 species
UUGUUCAUUUAAUCCCUUCGUUAUCUAUUCUUCUCCGUGCUAGUAGCAAUUUCGUAGUAAUGAUGGGAUUAUUCGUUGUACAGCGCUUUGAAAGCCAUAAGGCUUUGUGUGAUAAAGUUGUAUUGUGAUAAUCCUCUAGUCGUCAGACGCAUAGUUGCUGUGUAAGCUUCUAUUUUUUUUGGUGUUUUGGUUAGUCUAGUUCUUCUCCUUUCUUCAUUCGUUAUAUUCUUGCUAAAGGUUAUCACUUAGAUUUGAAUAUUUGGGAACUAUGUUGCUGGAAUUAGGAGGUUUUCUUUUCUUUGGUUAUUUAUUAAGCAGGGCCACAUUCUUAGCCUAAUUGGCAUUUUUUGGGCUAUAGACUAGUUAAUUUAUGUGGAUGUUUUUUCCUAAUGAGUGGUGUUAAUUUUAGUUACUAGAUUAGAUCAAUUCUUUUUUCACUCUAUUUAUCAAGCUGUUGUGUUUAGCGGCCAAGAAGUGAUUCACUUUAUGGUUUAUUCGAUUUCUGCAUCUUUGCCGCCUUGUUUCAUAAUAAUAUGAUGCGCAAGAAUUAGUUGGUCGAUUAACCGGAUUGAAUAUUGAGGGACCUUGUCAUCUUGUUUCUUUGUUUGAGAUAGUUUAUAAAAACCUUCACUUUAAAUUUGGAUGGCAUUACUCCUAUAUACGAACUGCCUAAAUUCUCCUAUAAAACAUGUAGUACAAUCUAUUUCUUUUUUUUCUUAAUAAAUGAGUGUGAAGCAGCAUAUUUGAUAGAUGUGAAAAAUCAAGUUUAAGAUGAUUGAACCUCUUAAUCGUUCCUUAGUAUAUAGGGUAUAUUGCUUGGCCUUUGGCUAAUGUCUAAGUUAUGUGAUCAUGUAGAUGUCUUGCAUUAUAGCUCGUCAUACUUGCUGUAUUGAACCCUCAGUUAAACUUACUUUGAUAGUUGUAUCUAAUGGGGUGAGCUCAUAGAAUUAUUAUUGCCCGUUUUCUUUUCUUGUAGCUUUGAAAUUUCCUCAAGUAUUCUGAAUUGAUUGCCUCACCAAGAUGUUAGAAAUAAUGAUGACGAUUUCCCGUCAAUAAUUCUGUUGUUAUGGAAAGUUGUAGUCAUGUACUAAUCAUUAUAUUUUCUUUAUUUUGCAUGAACCCAUCUUGAUCGAUUCCGAUCGGACUCCCCAUUCCUUCGCAUUCAAUGUCCGUCGAGUCGAGCCUCAUUAAAGUCCAAAUUUGGACUGAUAUACACAGGAUCGCACAUACUUGUGGUGGGGCCCUUCCCCGGACACCGCACAUAGCGGUAGCUUUAGUGCACCGGGCUGCCCUUAUACACAGGAUCGCACAAGUAUACAAGCUGGUGUACGCUGAUAUACAGCACGUAUACACUGAAAGCCGUAACGGCAAACCAUUAUACAGUGUACAAUGAAAAUUGGAGAGGGAAUAUGCUGGUUUUUACGUUGAUAUGCAGUAUAUACAUGGAAAUAUACAGAAAAAUGCAAGGGUGAAGACAGUUGGGUAUACACUGCAGAAAUGGACCAAAAGUCCAUAAAGAAUGGGCCCAAAAGCUGGGCAGCUUUAUUGAUGGGCCAAUUAAAGGCCCAAAUUUUAAUUCUUCUUAUUCAUUUCCUUGUAAAUCCUAUUUUUUAGUAUUAAAUAACAUAAAUACCAACCCUUUUGAAAGUAAUGUCACUCUCUCCCACUUUUUUAAUUACUUUACUCUCUCUCCCUAUUAAUAUACAUAACAUAGCCGACAUAUACAUAAUAUUCUGUGUAUAUGUUGGGAUUCUUGUAAUAUGUUUAGGGAGUUGGGAUUUUUUGUAAUAUUGAAAACAUAAGUUGUGUAUUUGUGUAAUUUUUAGAUUUUAGUAUGUGCUUGUAUUAAUUGUUAAUUUGGUUAGCCUUUAAAAAUCCCCUUUCGAAUCGUUAUUUUUGUUUUUCUCUGCAUUUUUUCUUUGCGUACUUUAUUUUGUAGCGCAAUAUUCAAAAUUGAUAAAAGUAUAUCUUUCUUUAUGUUUUUCCUUCGAAUGUCUUUUAAAAAAAUCAAAAUGACAUUUUAUUUCAUUAAUAUGUUAAAGUAUUCAUUCAGGUUAAAAAGAAUUUUCAUCGACCUAAACUCGAUUUUCUUUACGAUAGAUAAAAUUAUUUUCACGAAUUAGCCAAGGUUGUGUUAAAUUGAUAUUUUUCCUUAAAGACAGAUAUAUUUUUAUCAAAAAUGAUAUUUAAAAAUCACUUUCUUUCUCCCUCUUAUUUGAAAGAAUAAUUUAUAAAGAAAAUAAGUUUAGCUCAACCUUUCUUUACAAGAAAUUUUCUCAAGUUAAAUAGGAUCAAUAUUCGCUUGAUUGAUAAAUUUCAUUUUGGGUCUUCAAAAAAGAAAAUAGUUAAACGUAAUUUUUUUAUAAGAUUAAAUCUUUGUAAAAAUUAGUCACGUUUAGUUAGUCAAGUUAGUUCUUUUUGGUAACCCGUUUUAAACGGACAUUCCUAAGCAUCUCAAAAACCUUCUUAAGUUGUUAAUUGAACUCUUACCUGGUUUCUCUAAUUUUAAAAGGUUUUUUUUUUUUUUCUGUUUUUGAACCUUUGAAACUCUUUUUAAGUUUUUUCUUGAUUUUUUAUAUAAAAAUCAAGUGGCGAUUGUGAAUUUUGCUUAAAUUUAUUUCAAAAUUUUCUUGAAUCUUUUGAAAUAGUUUUAGAAAGGUCAAAUUCAUUUUCUCGCCAAAUGAAAUCCGAAAGGGAUAAAACAGAAAUGGCGACUCUACUUGGGAUUUAACUAGGUUCUAACCAAAUAUCUUAACUAACUUAUUUGACUAACUAUUUGGGUCUAUACUAUUUAACUGUUUGUUUGCUUAUGUGUUUAAAUUUUUGCAAAAUUUAAAUUGUUGCAUUUCAUGGCAUACUUUCACAUUUGAAUAUAUAAACUGUUUUGGGGUUUCAUGGAUGUCCCGACCCCUAUUUAUCGAUUCCAAAUGAAGUGUUGGAAAUAUGACAGUUUAUUGGCAUGUUAGGCGUUUGAUGGUUGUUCAUAUUUUCAAACCCGAGUUGUCUACUUGGGAACCUGGUCAAAGGCCACUCUAGAUACCUAGGAUAGAACAAAACCAAAAUUCUUUUUAGGCAUGAACCUAGGACAACCCAAUACCUGAAGGGGGAUUGGACACAUUAGAAAAACUCACCUUACGUCUAUUGACCACGAGUCAAUAACAGACGAUCAUUCUUUAUGUGUUUUAAUUGAAAGGUGUAAUGCCGAAUUGUAUGAACCAUUAUCCCUUGAAAUAUAUUUGGGGGGGCAAUGAAACAUCUUACAAAUGACACGUAUGUCCUUCAAACAUUAGGCCUUUCUUUGGCUUGAAAGGUCCCAUGUAUGCUAGGACGCGUGGUAAUUGUUUGUGCGCUGAAGUGUUUUAUUGUUUUGCUUUGUCUAUAUUUGCUUGAUCUGUGUGUCUAAAUAACAUAUAUUUGGCUUUAAACAAGACUAUACCAUUAUUCUAUUUCAAAAUCUUAGAACAUUAAUAGGCAUAUAAGACUCAAAAUUUGAACCCUUCCAAAAUAUCCUUAAAAGUCCGUCAAUUAUAUUCCUUCUAAUUUACCCCACAUUUUAUUCUAAAUUUCAUUAGAUCAUUAUCUAAUUCACAUUGGCCACGCUGCUCUUAAUAUUCGUUUCUCUAGCACUCAUUUAUAAGUAGAGUUAUCCAGACAUUCUAUCAAUGAAAAAAUUAUGUUAUCUUCAAAGCUUUUCAAAUAAGCCUUUUAAGAAGGUUUAUCUGUUAAUAUCCGAUUUCUCCAAAUCGCUAUGUUCAUUCUAAUCCAAAAAAUCCAUCAAACAGUCAAAGUUCUGAUCAUUCAGUCACUUUUUCCAAAGUAUCCUACUCUUCAAAUUCUAGGCUAGUCUGUUUCAAAUCAAAUAUAUGUCAUUUGUCUCGUAUAUUAUUUUCGUUAAUCAUUAUAAUCAUCGACUAACUUCUUACCUUUUGAGUGUUUUCUUUCCUUUUAGAGAGAGGUUGAUUUGUGUUUUUAAUCAAACUUGAUCGUUUCCCAAUAAUUAAAAGCAAAGUAACCAUUGGUGUCAUAAGUCACAAAGAAGAAUGAAAAUUCCUUAAUGGCAUACUAUCUUACAUUUCGAAGUUAUUAUUUUCUUGUAAUCGCACUUUGUGAUUUCUUUGUAUUCAUACAUUUAGUUUUACGAACUACAUUUGACCUGAAUUUCUAAGAAUGGUAUACGUAGGCGGACAAUGUCGGCUUUGGUCAAUCCCUCAGAAGAUUUAUCUUUCCAUUUCAUGUUGGAACUACCUUUCCUACCUCAAUGGAAUACAUGGGUGCUACACCAACUCAGUCAUAUUUCUAUAACGUUUUCGUAGAAACUACGGCAAAUUUUUUGGAAGACCUUAUAAAUUCAUCAAAGGAUCCUUUCCCGAGUUAAAUGAAGAUAACAUUAAAGUAUGUAACUGGGGCAGAAAUUUUUUAGAAGGUCUCAAAAAUUUCACAAACUUGACAUUGGCUACAAAAUUGAAAAUUAGACAUUGUUGAGAUCGAGGUGUAAUUUUUAAAGUUCUCUAUGAUUCAAGUACUCCACGUCAAAAACGACUCAACUACUUUGCAUUUUAGACUGGACAAAAUUUUUGAGAAGAUCUUAAAAAUUCCAUAUUCAUAAACUUCACAAGUUAUAAGGAAGUUCCGAAGUUAUAUAUUAUAGACUAGGACAAAACUUUUUAGGAAAAUCCUCAAAAGUUCCACAAAAAAUCGUACUUCAAGAUUAGAAAAAGUUUGCAAAUCAAUGAUGAAAAAGGUUCAUCAGGAGAGCAAGGUAAUAGCUACACAGUUAGUGUCUCAAAUCUAAGAAUUUUUCUUUGGAUGCAGGAAUAGUGAAGUCACAAAGUUGUCAAUGUUAAGCAUGACAAAGGGCAUUAUCAGAUCCACUGUGGUCUUGCCAUAAUAAUCCAGAUAACUUCUCUCCUCCAUUUUCCUCUUGAUUUAUGAUUCUAUUUACUUCAUUACAAUCUCUAACACUUUCUUUGAUUUUAUAGAAAAAUGAUCGUGCAUAACGACAAAGAUAUGGAGAUAUUAUCCAAACUACUAUCUCUAAAUCAUCAUGAGUCAAACAACUUCAUCUUUAUCGUUAAACUCUAUCUUUUGUUAUACUCCUGGCUUAAUUACAAUAAAUUAUUGUAUUAUUAAUGAGUAUUGUUAAUUUAUACAGGUGACAUUAUGCAAGAUCGCCCCUAUGAAUUAACAUAACCAAUCCACAAAGUUUGAGGAUUCAAUCUAAAAGCUCAGGACAUACACGGAUCCUUUUAAGGAUUUCUAAUUCAAAGGAUGAAGUCAACGAAUCAACUUCUAUCCUUUCUUAUAUGUUAGGGUUUUCUACCCUUCGAAAAAAUUACUGGGUUAUCAGCCUAUUCGAGGUGAUACACCUUAUUAUAUUUGGGUCAUUUAUCCUCUCAAGAAAACAUACUGAAUCAUCACUUCAUUCGAGGUGACACAUCUUAUUAUAUUUGGGUUAUCCACCCUUUCAAAAAGACAUAUAUUAUGAUAGUUGGAUUUUUCAUCCCUUAAUAGAAUACAUUGGACUAUCACUUUAUGUCACGGCCCGAUUUAUCAAGUCGUGAUGUCGCCUACCUUAUCCCCCCAGUAGGCAAGCCAAAUCAUAGCCCGGAAUAAUAGGUAACGGGCUAAUAGGCAGAAAUCAGAAAAGAUCGCUUAUAAUGAUAGCAAUAGUAAUAACAAGUAACAAACAGAAAGUAAACAUGUCUCAUAUACUAACACGAGGAAAGGAAAAGGACCAAAUACACAAAAGAAUUCCUCCCAAGACUUAGUAAGGUCAGUACUAGAGCCACUAUGAGAAUAUACCCAGGGUACUAGACAGAAUCCAAAAUAUACUCAAUAUACACAAGCAGUCUCGAGUACAAAAGACUAAACUAGAGUAGAUAGAGAAAGAUCACUCUCGGACGAUAAUAAGCUCACCCUGCUCCAAAUCAGUACUGGAAGGUAGGAAUCAGUCAAUAUCGAUUGUUACUACUUGGAUCUACAUCAGGGAAAAGAUACAGAAGUUGUAGUAUGAGUACCAAAGCAGCGGGUACUCAGUAGGCAUUAUCGGCCGACUGGGCUCAAUAUAGAAAAGAUACAACUACAAUACAAGGAUGUAAUCUAAGUCAACAGUAAAAAUGGACAGAAAGGUAAACAACUGUCAAGCUACGCUAAUGAGAUAAAGGAAUAAAUAUGAGUGAUACAGAAAAUUAAAAAAACAGCAAUUACAGACAAAUCAAACAUAACCUAACUGGGCCCCUUUAAGCCAGCUAGGCACAUAAACAUAACCUAAAUGGGCCCCCAUAAGCUCGUCAGGUACACUAAAGAAGACAAUUAACCCAAUCGUAUCCCCAUAAGCCGAUGGGAUACACAAGUAGCAAUUAAAAAAAUAAAUGUAAAUAAUCUGUUACUGAACCAAUCCUAAGAAAUCAUGAUAGUCAUCCAGAUGUGCGCCGGACUUGAACUAGCACUAAUAGGUAGUAACAAGAGGCCAGAUACCAAACUCGAACCAAUAGUGAUAGAUAAUAAUAAGAGGACACGUGCUGAAUUCAAACCGAACAUAAUGGAUAAUAACAAGAGGCAACAUAAAUAAUAUACAAUAUAACUCAUAAUUAGAUGCCGGAUUUGAACUGGAACUCAGCGGAAUUACAAUCAUAAUCAGGUGCCGGACUCAAAUCGAAACUCAAAAGAACCACAACCAUAGUCAGAUGCCGGACUCGAAGCGGAACUCAUAGUAACGAUACCCAAUUGUAAUAUUAAAAUUCAUACCAUACCAUAACAAUGUCAACGUGGUACCGAAAUUCACAAUUAAUGACAAAAAAAGUAUAUACUUAACCUAAACAGAAGCUAAAAUACGUCUAAAUAACCAUCCGCCAAUCUUAGUUAAAAAAGAAUAAAUUCAAAGUGUUGCAAUUUAAUUUUUCGUCCAAAGUAAUAGACGCUAUAUUAUAUUAAAAUAUAAUAUACCAAAAUUUACUAGAACGGUGUCCUAAUUCGGAUAAAUAAAGCAUAUUAUAUAUAUCAAAUGGUAUGCAACUACAAGUACUUAUCUAGAACUAGCAUAAUAGUUUACAAUUUUAGUAAAUAAGCUCAAUCUAAAGGUAGGGUAAGCCUAGCCUACCUGGACAUGAAAGCUAAAAUGUCUUUCUGGAAAGCCUCCGAAUAAUGCUAUUAGAACCCGAGCUUGGAUAAACGAAUGCGAAUAAUUACUUUUCUUUCCUAAACUUUUCUUCAAUAAAUGAUUAUGAACAUAUAUAUAUGGGCGAGUGCCAUGCUUACAACAUUAUUUAAGUCUAAUGUAUAAUGUAUAAACCAAAGAAAACUAUUAACAAGAAUAAGUAUAUAAAUAUAUAUAUACUCGACAAGAAUACAUUUUGCCACACAAGGUUACAUAUGCUACUUAUUAACUUAAUUGACAUCUUUAAUCUUCUAUGUGGCUUUGCAAUAAUUAUAAGCAUGCAUGAUUCUACCACCUAAGGGUACACAUGCUACCUAACUUAAUCAAAUGACAUACUAAGUUUUAAAACAACUCCUCCACUUCCCUGUGGAAGUGGAGUUAGAAAUUUCCCAUACAAUCUUAUCCUAUUAUAUAUAUAUUCAGGUAUUACAUAGGUUCAUGAUAAAUAAAUAUAAUAUUUUGAAUAUAUCAUAAUUAAUAGAAAAUGAUUUCUAAUAAAACCUCUAUUAUAUAAUAAUAUUGUUUUAAUAUUUCUAGAUUUACUAUCUCUACUUAAAAUGUUAAUAGACUAUAAAAGCUACUAUAAAGUGAUAUAGAUAUAACAUAACUUAAGGAAUUUAGUAAAUAUCAAAAAUAUUUUAGAAGGGCACUAAAUUAUAUUUUUACCAAAUAUCAAGUCGAAUUAAAUAUUUCACAAUACACUAGAUAUUACUAAAAUUAAUCAAACGAACUGCCUGGAAACCGAACUGUCAAUCUCAGCAAGUCAUAAAUAACUUGGGCAGUUAUAGAAAAGCUCUGCAUAUCAAAAGUGUGUUAAAAUAUCAAAAAAAUGACCAUGAGGGUCAUUACAACAUCUACUACUAAAAGGACUUUCGUCCACCAAAGUAAAGCAUAAGGACGUAACUGGGGGCUCAAACAGGUAGGGAUACUGGGCACGCAUAUCACGCCUGGGAGGGAGUCCAGGUAGGCCAGUUGAAACCACAUCAAAAAACUCGCGAACCAUAGGGAUGGAGUCAAAAGCUGGACUCUUAGCACUAACAUCCCGAACGUAUGCAAGACAUGUCUCACAACCCCUCAGUAUCUGUCUUCUAACGUAACAUAAGAAAAUAAUUCCCAUUUAUAUAUGCUUAAUAGAACCCUACAACAAUCAGGAUACACUAGGCAAGGCUAAAGUAACGGUCCUAAAAGAACAAUCGAAGAUCACAUGAUAAGGAGACAACUAAUCCAUGCCUUAAAUCACAUCGAAAUCCAUCAUAUCUAGGAUAAUGAGAUCCACCUGAGUACCAAGUUCUUGAACGAUCACCAAACACGAUCUAUAUACCUGAUCUACUACUAAAAAAAUCACCCAUAUAGAUAGCUAUAUGCAAUGGCAUAGAUAAAAACUCUUAACAUAAAUCUAACCGCGAUGCAAAAUAGGUAGAAAUAUAUGAAAAUGUGGAAUCGGGAUCAAACAAAGCAGAGACUGGCUGAUGGCAUAUGAUAAUCUUAUCUCUGAUCAACACAGAAUUUGAAGCCUCAGCCUCAAAUUUACCUAAUAUAGCAUACAAAUGACCCUGUCCACUACUGGACUAGGUGCCUAUCCGACCAUCUCUAGAUCCCUGAGGACCAUCCCCACGACUCUGUGCAUCACCUCUAUCUAACGACGAAACUGACCUGAUCUAUUAUACAAUAAAAAAUGAAAGCUCAAUCAUCUUAUAUUGAGGACACUCACGAGCGAAGUGACCAGCAACCUCAAAGUCAUAAUAUUCCCCGGGCACCCUGCUCUGUCUCAAAGGUCUGGCGGAUCUAAAAUGAUCACCUCUACUUGAUGAUCCUGACUGAACACCCUUUUGUAGCUGAAUACUGCUCUGACCACUAGAACCCCUAUAACUAGGCUAACCCCUGACCUAUGGGUCAACCUCGACCCUAGCAGUGGACCCGAGGUCCCAGUCUUUGUCUCUCACUUCUCGAAUCCUAACCAUUUGGGUAAAAAAUGAACAAAUAAAAAUUACAACCAGGUCGAACACAACGCACAAAAAUGGAUCAAGAAAAUGAGACUUUUCCUUUAAAAUGCUUCGUAGCCUCCCGAAGAUAGGAUACAGACGUCUCUGUACUAAUCCACGGGACUCUACUAAACAUUGGCUCUAGUACCAACAGUACCGGUGAAAUCAAGGCUCUGAUACCAAGCUGUCACAAUCCGAUUUCUCAAGUUGUGAUGGCACCUACACGAUUUCUCAAGCUGUGAUGGCGCCUAGAAUAAUAGGUAAAGAGCUAAUAGGCAGAAUCAGAAAAGAUCACAUAUAAUGAUAGCUAUAGUAAUAACAAGUAACAAACAGAAAGUAAACAUGUCUCAUAUACUAAUAUGAGGGAAGAAAAAACACCAAAUACACAAAAGAAUUUCUCUCAGGACCUGAUAAGGUCGGUACUAGAGCCACUACUAAAAUAUACCCAGAGUACAAGACAGAAUCCAAAAUAUACCCAAUAUACACAAGCAGUAUCAAGUACAAAAGAUUAAACUAGAGUAGAUAGAGGAGGACCAACCUCGGAUGACAGUAAGCUCACCCUGCUCCGAAUCAGUACUGGAAGAUAGGAAUUACGUCAAUGUCGCUUGCCACUACUUGGAUUUGAAUCAAGAAAAAGAUGCAGAAGUGUAGUAUGAGUACCAAAGCAACGAGUACUCAGUAGGCAUCAGCAGCCGACUGAGCUCAAUACAGAAAAAAUAUAACUACAAUGCAAGGAUGUAAUCUAAGUCAGUAGUAAAAAGGGAUAGAAAAAUAAACAACUACCAAGCUACGCCGAUGAGUUAAGGGAAUAAAUAUGAGCUAUAUAGAAAAUAAAUAAAGCAGUAAUUAUAGACAAAUCAAACCAAACCUAACUGGGCCUCCAUAAGCCCAAUAGGCACACAAACAUAACAUAACUGGCCCCUCAUAAGCCCACUAGGCACACUGAAGAAGACAAUUAAUCCAACCGUACCCUCAUAAGCUGGUGGGACACACAAGUAGCAAUUAAAGAAAAUAAACGUGAGUAAUCUGUAACUGAGACAAUCCCAAGAAAUCAUGAUAGUCAUCUAGAUGUGCACCGAACUUGAACCAGCACCAAUAGGUAGUAACGAGAGGCCAGUUACCGAACUCAAACUAGUAGUGAUGGAUAAUAACAAGAGGACACGUGCCGAAUUCAAACCGAACAUAGUGGGAAUAACAAGAGGCCACAUAUAUAAUAUACAACAAAACUCAUAAUCAGAUACCAGACUCAAAUCGAAACUCAGCGGAACCACAACCAUAAUCAAAUGUUGUACUUAAACCGAAUCUCAAAGGAACCACAACCAUAAUCAGAUGCCGGACUCGAACCGAAACUCAAAGGAACCACAACCAUAAUCAGAUGGCGGACUCGAAUCGAAACUCAUAGUAACCAUACCCAACUGUGAUAUUAAAAUUUAUACCAUACCAUAACAAUAUCAACGUGGUACCAAAAUUCACAAUUAAUGACAGAAAUAAAGUAUAUACUGAACCUAAAUAGAAGCUAAAAUAUGUCUAAAUAACCAUCCGCCAAUCUUAAUUAAAAAAAAAUAAAUUCAAGGUUUUGAAAUUUAAUUUCACGUCCUAAAGUAAUAGAUGCUAUGUUAUAUUAAAAGAUAAUACACCAAAAUUUAUUAGAACGGGAUCGUAAUCUGAAUAAAUACGACAUAUUAUAUAUAUAUAUAUCAAAUGGUACACAACUACAAGUACUUAUCUAGAACUAGCAUAAUAGUUUACAAUUUCGGUAAAUAAGCUCAAUCUAAAGGUAGGGUAAGCCUAGCUUACCUGGACGCCAAAGCUAAAAUGUCCUUCUGCGAAUCCUCCGAAUAAUGCUAUUAGAACCCAAGCUUGGAUAAACGAAUGGGGAUAGUUACUUUUCUUCAAUAAAUGAUUACGAACAUAUAUAUAUAUAUAUAUAUGGGCGAGUGCCAUGCUUACACCAUUUUUUAAGUCUAAUAUAUGACGUAUCAACCAAAGAAACCAUUAACACGAAUAAGCAUAUCAAUAUAUAUAUACACAGCACGAAUACAUUCUGCCACACAAGAUUACAUAUGCCACUUAUUAACUUAAUUGACAUCUUUAAUCAUCUUUGUGGCUUUGCAAUAAUUAUAAGCAUGCAUGAUUCUGCCACCUAAGGGUACACAUGCUACCCAACUUAAUCAAAUGGCAUACUAAGUUUUAAAACGACUCCUCCACUUCCAAGUGGAAGUAGAGUUGGAAAUUUCCCAUACAAUCUUAUCCUAUUAUGUGUAUAUUGAGGUAUUACAUAGCUCCGUUAUAAAAUAAAUGAAAAAGGGUUAAAAAUACUCCUGAGCUAUCUGAAAUAGAUCAAAAAUACCUCUCGUUAGUUUUUUGACUCAAAAAUAUCCCUUUGUUAAAUAUUUGGCUAAAAAUAUUCCUUCCCUUAACGAAAUUCCACCAAGCAUACCACCUAAGUAAAAAAGCCACGUGGCUAUGCCAUUAUUUGAAAAAGGGUCAAAAGUACCCCUCGUUAGUUUUUUGGUUCAAAAAUACCCUCCGUUAAAUAUUUGGCUCAAAAAUACCCCUCCCCUUAACGGAAUUCAACCAAGCAUGCCACCUAGAUAAAAAAAAUCACAUGAAUAUGCCACGUCACCAUCCACAUGUAAAAUAUUAUUUUUUAAUUAUAUGAUAUUCCUUUCUUCUUUAUUUUUAUUUUUAUGCAAAGCAGUUUUAUCAAUCUAAAAAAAAAUAUGAUCAGCAAAAUUAAAAAUUUCUAAAAAUAUUUAAAUAAAAUGAAAUAAAUUUGUGUUUUUACUGGAUUUAGUUUAACGUUUUUGGAAUUUCUCGACAUUGGAAAGGUACUAAAUAAAUUUUGUUAAAGGAGUACAAAUUAUUUAAUUUUUUUUAUUAUAUGAUAAAUUUUUCACUUAGAUUAUUAAAGAAAAUUAUAUCCAUAUUUUUCUAAUGAUUAAAAUAUAUUAAAUGUCAUUUACUUUUCUGAAAGUGAAAUUUUAAAAAAUUCUAAGAAUACUUGAUGAUUAAACAUAAAAUUAGAAAAACUAUCAAUAUUCAUUGAGUCCAGAAAAAAUAAAUCAACAUCACUGAAUAUGAUCUUUUUAUUUAAUUCCUUCAUCAAGAAGAAAUGAAUGACAUGUAAUUAAAAAAUAAAAUUUUACAUGUGGAUGGUGACGUGGCAUAGCCACGUGACUUUUUUACCUAGGUGGCAUGUUAGGUGGAAUUCUGUUAAGGGGAGGGGUAUUUUUUAGCCAAAUAUUUAAUGGAGGGGUAUUUUUUAUCUAAAAACUAAUGAGAGGUAUUUUUGAUCCAUUUCAGAUAGUUCAGGGGUAUUUUUGGCCCUUUUCUGAAAAAUAAAAUUUUACAUAUGGAUGAUGAUGUGGCAUAGCCACGUGACUUUUUUUACCUAUGUGGCAUGCUUGGUGGAAUUUCGUUAAGGAGAGGAGUAUUUUUGAGCCAAAUAUUUAAUGAAGGGGUAUUUUUGAGCCAAAAAUUUAACGAGGGAUAUUUUUGAUCCAUUUUAGAUAGUUCGGCGGUAUUUUUGACCCUUUUUUGUAAAAUAAAUAUAAUAUUUUGAAUAUACCAUAAUUAAUAGAAAAUGAUUUAUAAUAAAACCUCUAUUAUAUAACAAUAUUGUUUUAAUAUUUCUAGAUUUACUAUCUCCACUUAAAAUGUUAAUAGACUAUAAAAGCUACUAUAAAGUGAUAUAGAUAUAACAUAACUUAAGGAAUUUAGUAAAUAUCAAAAAUAUUUUAGAAGGGUACUAAAUUAUAAUUUUACCAAAUGUCAAUUCAAAUUAAAUAUUCCAAAAUACACUAGAUAUUACUAAAAUUAAUCAAACCAACUGCCUGGAAGCCGAACUAUCAAUCCCAGCAAGUCAUAAAUAACUUGGGACAGUUAUGGAAAAGCUUUGCAUAUCGAAAGUGUGUUAAAAUACCGAAAAAGUAACUGUGAGGGUCAUUACACUUUAUUUGAGACAUCUUAUUAUGUUAUGGACCGUCAGCUCUUCAGAGUGACAUAUGAUUAUGUUGUGGAUUGUCACCUCCUUCAGAGUAACAUAUUACUAUGUUACAGACCGUCACCUCCUUUAGAGUGACAUAUUAUUAUGUUUGGACCAUCACCUCUUUCAGAUGGCAUAUUACUAUGUUACGGACUAUCACCUCCUUCGGAGUGACAUAUGAUUAUGUUAUGGAUCGUCACCUCCUUCAGAGUGACAUAUUACUAUGUUACGGACCGUCACCUCCUUCAGAGUGACAUAUGAUUAUGUUAUGAACCGUCACCUCCUUCAGAGUGACAUAUGAUUAUGUUAUGAACCGUCACCUCCUUCAGAGUGACAUAUUACUAUGUUACGAACCGUCACCUCCUUCAGAGUGACAUCUUAUUAUGUUAUGGACCGUCAUCUCCUUUAGAGUGACAUCUUAUUAUGUUAUGGACUUUCACCUCCUUCAGAGUGACAUAUGAUUAUGUUGUAGACCAUUAGCUCCUUAAGAGUGAGAUAUUACCAUGUUACAGACCAUCACCUUCUUCAGAGUGACAUAUGCUUAUGUUAUGGACCGUUACCUCAUUCAAAGUGACAUAUUACUAUGUUACAGACUAUCACCUUCUUUCGAGUAACAUUUUACUAUGUUAUGGACCGCCAUAUCCUUCUGAGUGACAUCUUAUUAUAUUAAUCAUGAUCUCUUUUAGAGUGACAUAUACUAUGUUAAGGAUCGUCACCUCUUUUAGAGUGAAAUAUGAUUAUGUUAUGGACCGUCACCUCCUUUAGAGUGACAUAUUACUAUGUUACAGACCACCACCUCCUUCAAAGUGACAUUUUAUUAUGUUAUGGACUGUCACCUCCUUCAGAAUGAUAUUUUAUUAUGUUGAUCAUCACCUCCUUCAGAGUGACAUGUGAUUAUGUUAUGGACCAUCACCUUCUUCAGAGUGACAUAUUUUUAUGAUGGACCAUCACCUCCUUCAACGUUAUAUGUUAUAAAUUUUGACCUACUUCAAUAUGGCAUACUAAAACAAGGUAUGAACGAUUGCCCUUAUAUUGCAUUUGCUACUAAUAAGUUUAGUGCAAGUGAUUAUGAGACAUGUUGAACCGUUACUUCAUUCAAAGUGACAUGUUAUAUUCAAAAUGGGUUAUUCAUCCUUCAGUGAGACACGUUGCACCGUCACUUCAUUCAAAGUGGUAUAUUACAUUUUAAAUAGGUCGUCCGUCCUUCAAUGAGACACGUUGGAUCAUUACUCCAUUCAAAGUAGCAUGUUACAUUUUAAAUGGGUCGUCCGUUAUUCAAUGAGACAAGUUGGACCGUCACUCCGUUCAAAGUGGCAUAUUACAUUCAAGAUAAGUCAUUCUUUUUUUACUAGUGCAUGUUGGGUUGUCACCCCGUUUAAAGUGACAUAAUAUUUGUAGAACAGGUUUGACUAUCUUAGCAUACCGUGUUCAAAUAGGUUUGCACUAAUUUAUGUUUGGGUAAUGCUAUAUUUUGCAACUAACUAUUUUUUUGGAGAUAUUGUCGAGAGCAUCCGAAAGGAUGAAAUUCUCAAUUCAAAAUCACAGGUGUGAACGACUCCAAAAAGGACACAGCACAACGUGGAACUUUUUCUUAGCGGCGAAUUGGGACAUAGUUCAAAGAGGAAUACUAAACUCUUUGAUCGCGAGCUAAAGAACAACUUCCACCACCAUCAAACCACACCCCUAUUAGAAGACGUGUGGGAUAUUUUGGGAUGUUCUGGUUUCAGUUUCACUUUCAGGAUACUUCUAAACUCAUACUGGAAGUAACUUUCCCUUUUCUUCAAAUCCGAGGGAUAACGCACUCAGAGUUUUGAAAAUUAUAUCCGGGUAAAUUCUUGCCUAUGGAUGUGAAGGAUCUCACAUUCAUGGUUAAGAAAUUACAAGCCUCUUUUCCUUAACCCAAUUAACUUGUCACUGAUUUUGAACCAAAGAUCGUCUAACAUAAAAGACUGUCUUUCUACUGAUCGAGUUGAACUACAAGCAGUCUGAUUUCCGGAAUCAUUGGGAUAUAUAGGCUGGGCUCUAUGUAGAAAACUCGACGACAUUCCAACCUUCCCCUCAAUUCUCUUAUCCCACAGCUCUUCAGUUUCACCAAAAUUUGAAAUUCGGAAUAGCUUAUGAAUUCUUUGAAAAUCAUGCUUAAAAAUCAAGCUUUAUGAACUACAAGUGGCCUGAAUUCUCAUGCAACCUUAGAUAUGUAGGAAAGCCGAUACUGGGGUUCAUCCAUAACUCUCUAAAAACUCGUGUGAAAACUAAUUUCUUUUGAGAAAUGAAUUUGUGGUCGAACAAAAAUUAGGGACGUCAAACUCCUUUUGCCUAGGGUUACUUGCAUCCACCCUACCCAAAGGAAGGGGGCAGUUGUUAACACUUAAUUUUUGCCCUCCGUGACUAAGUUUAAUUUCGCGUUUCAUUGAUUUUAAAUAAAAUUACAAUAUUUAUUUUAUUCAAAUGAAAAAAAUCUUUUCAAAAUAUUUUCUAGGCAAUUUUGUCAUUUUGAGUAACGAUUAUAUGUUCUUAUAUUUGUAUACAAGAUCGUAUGAUUUUGUUACUUAAAUAAUUAUUUUACUGAAAGUUUGAUUUUAAUCAAGGAUUUUCUUGAAAAUCAAUUCAAAUGGGCAAAAUCUAGAUUGAAACAUAAUUUAUUCUCAAAAAUAAUUUAUUCGAACAAUAUUUGUUUAAAUUUAAUAAAUUAAGAAACUCAAAAUUAAACCAGUUCAUAAUUCGUAUUCAAUUUUGAUAUAAUUUAGGUGAUUAAUUAAAUUUGACCGUAAUUGAAAUUAAUUGAACCAUAAUUGCAAUACAAUUAGCCAAUUGGUUUUCGAUUUGGCGGGAUUUAAAUAAAUUGACUGAAUUUAUAAUUUGGGGUUAUUUAUUAAAAACCUUAAACCCAAUCCUUUUUAAAUCAAUCAGCCUCAUAAAAAUUGGGCCACCAGCCCAAAAUGACACCCCUUUCUCUUCUCCCUUGACCCAACCCAUCAGCCCAACAAGCUGAAAUCGAACCGGACCAUACCCUUUUUCCUCUGUUCCCAUUUUACCCGUAUCAAUCCAACACCAGUAGCCAACAACACUCCAAAACGCGAUAACAAACAUCGACAACUCCAACGUUAACAGCUAACAACACUGCUUGCAAGCAGUGUACAAACACCAACAACAAAACAGCGAUGGUACCACCUUCAACCCGUCGACAACGACGAACUCGGUGACCCAAAAUCUGAACCCGUCGAGUCAGCAAUCGACGACCCAACCAGCUCAACCAGAAAUGCCAACAACCCCGACCACCCGUCCAGCUCAGCAAUAACGUUCAGAUUCUGUAUAAAUUCCAGCUCUUCUUAUCUCAAUUUUGAAAUUCAAAUUUCUAACUCUUUUUCCCUUUUUACCCCUCCGUUCCCCCUAAAAUCAGUCUCAAAUCUCCGGAAGGAGCAUUCCUCUAAUCCCACGUAACCAAAGAAUUCGAGAAGAAACAUAUUUGGAAAAUCAAUUCCGAGGAAACGAAAAAAAGAAGAAAAGUGAAAAUUCCAACAAAAAUUACUUCGGAUUCCGGCGAAAUUAUUUAAUUCCAGCGAAAUUAACUGAACUCCGGUGUUAAAGUCCAUUUUAAAGAGCUCGUCCGUCUCAGUUCCUGCCCCCGAAAAGGUAAACACGGCUUGUUCAUUUAAUCCCUUCGUAAUUUAUUCUUCUCCGUGCUAGUAGCAAUUUCGUAGUAAUGAUGGAAUUAUUCGUUGUACAGCGCUUUGAAAGCCAUAAGGCUUUAUGUGAUAAAAGUUGUAUUGUGAUAAUUCUCUAGUCGUCAGAUGCAUAGUUGUUGUGUAAGCUUCUGUUUUUUUUUUUUUUUGGUGUUUUGGUUAGUCUAGUUCUUCUCCUUUCUUCAUUCGUUAUAUUCUUGAUAAAGGUUAUUACUUAGAUUUUAAUAUUUGGGAACUAUGUUGCUGGAAUUAGGAGGUUUUCUUUUCUUUGGUUAUUAAAUAAGCAGGGCCACAUUCUUAGCCUAAUUGGCAUUUUUUUGGGCUAUAGACUAGUUAAUUUGUGUGGAUGUUUUUUCCUAAUUAAUGGUGUUCAUUUUAGCUACUAGAUUAGAUCAAUUCUUUUUUCAUUCUUUUUAUUAAGUUGUUGUGUUUAGCGGCCCAAGAAGUGAUUCACUUUAUGGUUUAUUCGGUUUCUGCAUCUUUGCCGCUUUGUUUCAUAAUAAUAUGACGCGUCAAGAAUUAGUUGGUCUAUUAACGGAUUGAAUAUUGAGGGACCUUGUCAUCUUGUUUCUUUGUUUGAGAUAGUUUAUAAAAACCUUCACUUUAAAUUUGGAUGGCAUUACUCCUAUAUACGAACUGCCUAAAUUCUCCUAAAAAACAUGUUGUACAAGCUAUUUCUUUUUUUCCUUAAUAAAAUGAGUGUGGAGCAGCAUAUUUGCUACAUGUGAAAAAUCAAGAUUAAGAUGAUUGAACCUCUUAACCGUUCCUUUGUAUAUAGGGUAUAUUGCUUGGACUUUGGCUAAUGUCUUAGUUAUGUGAUCAUGUAGAUGUCUUGCAUCAUCGCUCGUCCUACUUGCCGUGUUGAACUCUCAGUUAAACUUACUUAAUAGUUGUAUAUAAUGGGGUUAGUUCAUAGAAUUAUUAUUGCCCGUUUUCAUUUCUUGUAGCUUUGACAUUUCCUUAAGUAUUCUGGAUUGAUUACCUCACCAAGAUGUUAGAAAUAAUGAUGACGAUUUCCCAUCGAUAAUUCUGUUAUGAAAAGUUGUAGUCAAGUACUAAUCGUUAUAUUUUCUUUCUUUUACAUGAACC